rnacentral:rRNA from 1 species
CUCGUAGGCGGUUCGUCGCGUCCGGUGUGAAAGUCCAUCGCUUAACGGUGGAUCCGCGUCGGGUACGGGCGGGCUGGAGUGCGGUAAGGGAGACUGGAAUUCCCGGUGUAACGGUGGAAUGUGUAGAUAUCGGGAAGAACACCAAUGGCGAAGGCAGGUCUCUGGGCCGUUACUGACGCUGAGGAGCGAAAGCGUGGGGAGCGAACA